rnacentral:rRNA from 1 species
GAUGAACGCUGGCGGCGUGCUUAACACAUGCAAGUCGAACGGAAAGGCCCAAGCUUGCUUGGGUACUCGAGUGGCGAACGGGUGAGUAACACGUGGGUGAUCUGCCCUGCACUUCGGGAUAAGCCUGGGAAACUGGGUCUAAUACCGGAUAGGACCACAUUUUGGAUGGUGUGGUGGAAAGUUUUUCGGUGUGGGAUGAGCUCGCGGCCUAUCAGCUUGUUGGUGGGGUAAUGGCCUACCAAGGCGUCGACGGGUAGCCGGCCUGAGAGGGUGUACGGCCGCAAUGGGACUGAGAGACGGCCCAGACGCCAACGGGAGGCAGCAGUGGGGAAUAUUGCACAAUGGGCGCAAGCCUGAUGCAGCGACGCCGCGUGGGGGAUGACGGCCUUCGGGUUGUAAACACCUUUCGCUAGGGACGAAGCGUUAUGUGACGGUACCUGGAGAAGAAGCACCGGCUAACUACGUG